rnacentral:lncRNA from 1 species
GUCUGGGGAUGUCUCUGCUGCUAAUGGUGGAUUUCAGUUGCCAGAGAGGAAAGAAAACAAACAUUUGCAGGAUGCUUGUGCUUUCCUUGCAAAUGUUCUUUAUUAAUCUUUGCAGAGGUAGAGUCCACUAUCCCCGUUUUACAGGCAAGGAAACUGGGAUUCAGGCCACACAACCGGAUUCUGACAAGUCCGGAGUACGUCCCCUCAUCAUCAGGGCAGGAGGUAACGUGCUGAAUUUAAUAGCAAAGCAAAUUUUGCUGGAGAAGAAAUGAGAUUUCUUUGUCAAGGU